UACGUAGGGGGCAAGCGUUGUCCGGAAUCAUUGGGCGUAAAGAGCGUGUAGGCGGUUCGUUAAGUCUGCUGUGAAAGUCCAGGGCUCAACCCUGGAAGGCCGGUGGAAACUGUCGGGCUAGAGGCCGGAAGAGGCGAGUGGAAUUCCCGGUGUAGCGGUGAAAUGCGCAGAUAUCGGGAGGAACACCAAUGGCGAAGGCAGCUCGCUGGGACGGUACUGACGCUGAGACGCGAAAGCGUGGGGAGCAAACAGG
rnacentral:rRNA from 1 species